GCCAGCUAAGCAAGCAAAGCCGUUCCGUUCAGUCAUUUGAACAUGAAUCUAAUGGCUGUCACUAGGUGGCUAAAAUGAUGUUCACCACCAGAGCGCGAGUGCCUUCGUGAAGACGAAAUAAUUUCCAUCUGUUUCCGAGACGCUGACUGAAAGUGUAUUCGAAAUUCGUUACGGAAUUGCGGUCGAUCAAUAUUUUCAGCCAUGAAAUGCAAUCUGGCAUAUAAUUUCACUUGGCUAAAUAAUAAUGUGACGACGGACUUGGGUUGAAACUGCUGUCCAUUUUGCCGAAAUGUCGGCCAUUGUUAGCUGCACCUAUUCGGCUCUACGUCUCAUCUCUUGCAGAAACACUUCAGAGCUUGUAAAUUCAGAGACAGAUCCCUUUGCUCAACUGUUGCAGAAAUUGAAAACACAACAAAGUCUGAGCUUCAUUGCUGUCAUUCAUUAACAUGGUUUUGUUGCAGCCAGCUGGUGAAAGGUGUGAUCAAGUCAAGUUGAGAGCUGCAGCUGCUGCAUGCAGUUAAUCAAGCUGGUGUUAUCUGAAGUGUCACUGCAGGAAGUCUUCUUGAAUUGGAGUUAAUGGUCAAUUAGAUGUUUGAGCUGUUUAUGGUGUUGCCGUUUGGUGUGCAGUGGUUUUGCAGUCCCUUUCCAGUUGAGAGAUGUUCUGAAAUGAAGCUUAUGCAGACCUGCCGUUCAACAUCACCCUUCAAUGUGCCAUUUUUUUAUGUUGGUGUCCAUGCAGUAUAUGAAGUGUUGAAAAGUUGGGUUAAGUAGUCAAGGUUGCCCAAUGGCUGUCGGUCUUGUUUUAUUGGCGGCAUUUCGUCGAUAUGUCGUCUCUUGCUACCUCUACCAGCGUUGAGUUAAAUCGUUUGCUGCUGUCCAUAGACUUGAUCCAUUGGUGAAACUGAGGAGAGGUUGCUGAAAUUCAAGACUCGUCAAUAAUUUAUGUAGAUGUAGAUAUUAUUACAAGCGCAUAAUCUGGGCUCCCUUCUUCAGUGGCCCCGUUUCCCUAAAUAACCACUAACCAACGCCCGCCGGUGGUCACUCACUCGCUGCGACAACCAGGAGGAAGGGAGAUGUUUGGUCGAACGGGGACUUGCAAGGCGCAUGAUUCGAUGAAAUCUGUUGGAGGGUCAUGAGUCUAAGCCGGAAGCCUACUAUGACACACUGCUCUCAUAAUAACUGCUCCUCAGCUCUCUUCGCUCUUUUUCCGGUUUCUCUUAACCAUGGCCGGGUAAUCUCCCUGGUCGAGUCAGUCGGGCAGUGUCUCCCCCUGCUCGACUGGCAGCAGUUUGUACCGGACGGUGUGUUUAAUAAAU